rnacentral:lncRNA from 1 species
AAGCAAUUUGAUGGAUUUAAAAGUUAGUGGAGCAUUAUCAUCUAUCACCUCGGUUUCUUGGGGUUUCACGGUGGGUUCCCCAUCAUCGCCGGCCAUACACUUAAGAGCGGUAAAGCCCUAAUUAAGAUACGAGGCUCUGAUACCAAUUGAAAGAUCGUAUGGUCGACUAGAGGGUAGGUGAAUAGGAGACUAACAAAUUUUAGUUUUUCUUUUUCUUUUCUUGAAAGAUACAAACACUUAAUCCUAGAGCUUUCUAGAUUCUCUAAAGUCAAUGCAACCCUAGAAUGAAAUGCAAUAGCCCAAGCAAUAGCCGAAGCAACAAUAGAUAGCAAGAAUGUAAAGGGGAAAUGAUACCACACGUGGAGACGAAGAUUUCACCGG